GACUUCGUAGUGUAGUGGUCAAUACGCUCGACGCGUAACCGAGAGGUCCGUGGUUCGAUUCCCGGCGAAGGCG
rfam:Stegodyphus mimosarum contig32717, whole genome shotgun sequence.